GCAGCUAUCUGCAGUCGAGGGGCAGCAUGGUUGUAGCAAUACAACUGAUGGCGACCGGCAAACGGGUGCGGAACACGUACGCAACCUACCCAAAACUGGGGGAUAGCCCGGGGAAACCCGGAUUAAUACCUCGUAACAUUAUGGAGUGGCAUCACUUUAUAAUUAUAGCUCCGGCGGUUUUGGAUGGGCGUGCGCCUGAUUAGGUAGUUGGUGAGGGUAACGGCCCACCAAGCCUGCGAUCAGUAACUGGUGUGAGAGCACGACCAGUCACACGGGCACUGAGACACGGGCCCGACUCCUACGGGAGGCAGCAGUAAGGAAUAUUGGUCAAUGGACGCAAGUCUGAACCAGCCAUGCCGCGUGAAGGAUGAAGGUCCUCUGGAUUGUAAACUUCUUUUAUAUGGGACGAAACCUGGGAAUUCUUUUCCAAUUGACGGUACCAUAGGAAUAAGCACCGGCUAACUCCGUGCCAGCAGCCGCGGUAAUACGGAGGGUGCAAGCGUUAUCCGGAUUCACUGGGUUUAAAGGGUGCGUAGGAGGGUAGGUAAGUCAGUGGUGAAAUCUUCGAGCUUAACUCGGAAACUGCCGUUGAUACUAUCUAUCUUGAAUACCGUGGAGGUGAGCGGAAUAUGUCAUGUAGCGGUGAAAUGCUUAGAUAUGACAUAGAACACCAAUUGCGAAGGCAGCUCGCUACACGAAUAUUGACUCUGAGGCACGAAAGCGUGGGGAUCAAACAGGAUUAGAUACCCUGGUAGUCCACGCCCUAAACGAUGGAUACUCGACAUACGCGAUACACUGUGUGUGUCUGAGCGAAAGCAUUAAGUAUCCCACCUGGGAAGUACGACCGCAA
rnacentral:rRNA from 1 species